GGGACAGGGCACCAAGCAAUACUUUGGGCUUCUGCUCUCUGGUGUCUAUGGGAGGGCCUAUCACAUCAUGGGCCCUGUAUCAUCCUAAGUGCUUUAUCAAGGCUGUCGGAGAGUCUGCGACAGGAAGAGUCUUCUGUCUUAGGGCAACUGAGAGAAGUGGGAAGAGCAUCUGGUGGGUACCAAUUGGCAGAGAAGGGGAGAAGACUGGUCAUUCUGUGACAUGCGGAGGACAGCCAGGUGGCCGGCUACAGCAGCAAUGGCAACAGAUGAAGAAGAGGGUGAGAACCACCACCAGGGGCAACCCCAGGAGCACAGCCAGGCAGACUGUGUUGAAGACGCCUCUUUCGUGUCUGAUCCGGAUGGUUUCCCAGACAGAGUUGAAGAAAGAACUGUUUCUCUCCAUGGUGCUGGUCUAGUGUGGGGCCAGAGGAUCGUCAAUUAUCUAACAAGCCCUCGGUGUCACAGAACACAGUGUUAGACACUUGGAAUUUAUUUUUCUCUCAGCUUCACGUUUGGGCAUGCCACCAGGAACACCUGAAGAAAGCAAAAUGGACAAUUCAAGAGAAAUGCAAUAGCAAUGGUCUGUCUAUUUUCAUAGUGUCCGUGUCUUUAUGCUUAGAAAAGAGAAGGAAUCAACGAGUUGCAGAGUUUUCUGAAAUCGUAUUAACACUCAAUAUACAAAGUGUACACAAUUAAUCAAUAACCUUUAACCCAUUCUCAUUAUGUACACACGUGAUAUUGGGCUUAGAAUAAAGGAGUUACUACUAUGUCAGACCUGCUACACACUAGGUAGUCAGCAGUUGUUGAAUAAAUUAAUCAGUGUGUAUAGU
ensembl:lincRNA 4930562F07Rik RIKEN cDNA 4930562F07 gene